GAGAUCAAAUCAGAAGGCUCCAUUGCAAAGAAGUUCAAUGAUAUUCUGCAGAAGAUGAGUUACCCCUUACAGCCCCGAGUACCAGAACACAGCAACAACAAGAUGAAAAACCUCUCUUAUCCCUUCUCCAGGGAGAAACUGUAUCUGUACAACAUCCAGGACAAGGACACUUUCUUUGACAAUGCUACUAGGAGCCGCAUUGUGCAUGAAAUCUUGAAACGUACAUCCUGUUCUCGAGCCAACAACACGAUGGGU